UUACUAAUCAAUCCUCCUAUAAUUUCUUAAUAAUUAGUAAAUUAAUUUAUUAUAACUUUUGCACAGGGUUAAUCAUCAAUCGAUUGAUUAUUUUAUCCUAGAAUGAUUAUUAAUCGUCGAUCAGCCAUAUGAUCAGUCAGAAAUUUCUUUUGAGUAUAAUUUCAUAAGUUUGAACCGAAGUCGAUAGUAUACAAAUAAUCUUUCUACACCAAUCAAAGUGACCAUCUAGCAAUGAUACCCGAUGUCCGGAUAGAUCGAAAGAUUGCAAAGCAUUAUUCAAGAACCUAUUGGCAUAUGGUUAUCUUAUAAUUUAUCCUUUAGAUCCAAAUAAUCAAGGUGACCUAGAUUUUAACUGUCAAUCCUGAUAUGGUC
rnacentral:lncRNA from 1 species